CUUGUAACAGUUUUUGAAAACGGGGAAUUGUGGUUUCUCAAGAAGGAUGUUUCCUUUACAAGA
rnacentral:tRNA from 1 species